UACCACCCUUUAAUGUUUGAUGUUCUAACGUGGACCCGUAAUCCGGGUUGCGGACAGUGUCUGGUGGGUAGUUUGACUGGGGCGGUCUCCUCCUAAAGAGUAACGGAGGAGCACGAAGGUUGGCUAAUCCUGGUCGGACAUCAGGAGGUUAGUGCAAUGGCAUAAGCCAGCUUGACUGCGAGCGUGACGGCGCGAGCAGGUGCGAAAGCAGGUCAUAGUGAUCCGGUGGUUCUGAAUGGAAGGGCCAUCGCUCAACGGAUAAAAGGUACUCCGGGGAUAACAGGCUGAUACCGCCCAAGAGUUCAUAUCGACGGCGGUGUUUGGCACCUCGAUGUCGGCUCAUCACAUCCUGGGGCUGAAGUAGGUCCCAAGGGUAUGGCUGUUCGCCAUUUAAAGUGGUACGCGAGCUGGGUUUAGAACGUCGUGAGACAGUUCGGUCCCUAUCUGCCGUGGGCGCUGGAGAACUGAGGGGGGCUGCUCCUAGUACGAGAGGACCGGAGUGGACGCAUCACUGGUGUUCGGGUUGUCAUGCCAAUGGCACUGCCCGGUAGCUAAAUGCGGAAGAGA
rnacentral:rRNA from 1 species